rnacentral:rRNA from 1 species
AAUGGGUCAGCGACUUAUAUUCUGUAGCAAGGUUAACCGAAUAGGGGAGCCGAAGGGAAACCGAGUCUUAACUGGGCGUUAAGUUGCAGGGUAUAGACCCGAAACCCGGUGAUCUAGCCAUGGGCAGGUUGAAGGUUGGGUAACACUAACUGGAGGACCGAACCGACUAAUGUUGAAAAAUUAGCGGAUGACUUGUGGCUGGGGGUGAAAGGCCAAUCAAACCGGGAGAUAGCUGGUUCUCCCCGAAAGCUAUUUAGGUAGCGCCUCGUGAAUUCAUCUCCGGGGGUAGAGCACUGUUUCGGCAAGGGGGUCAUCCCGACUUACCAACCCGAUGCAAACUGCGAAUACCGGAGAAUGUUAUCACGGGAGACACACGGCGGGUGCUAACGUCCGUCGUGAAGAGGGAAACAACCCAGACCGCCAGCUAAGGUCCCAAAGUCAUGGUUAAGUGGGAAACGAUGUGGGAAGGCCCAGACAGCCAGGAUGUUGGCUUAGAAGCAGCCAUCAUUUAAAGAAAGCGUAAUAGCUCACUGGUCGAGUCGGCCUGCGCGGAAGAUGUAACGGGGCUAAACCAUGCACCGAAGCUGCGGCAGCGACACUAUGUGUUGUUGGGUAGGGGAGCGUUCUGUAAGCCUGUGAAGGUGUGCUGUGAGGCAUGCUGGAGGUAUCAGAAGUGCGAAUGCUGACAUAAGUAACGAUAAAGCGGGUGAAAAGCCCGCUCGCCGGAAGACCAAGGGUUCCUGUCCAACGUUAAUCGGGGCAGGGUGAGUCGACCCCUAAGGCGAGGCCGAAAGGCGUAGUCGAUGGGAAACAGGUUAAUAUUCCUGUACUUGGUGUUACUGCGAAGGGGGGACGGAGAAGGCUAUGUUGGCCGGGCGACGGUUGUCCCGGUUUAAGCGUGUAGGCUGGUUUUCCAGGCAAAUCCGGAAAAUCAAGGCUGAGGCGUGAUGACGAGGCACUACGGUGCUGAAGCAACAAAUGCCCUGCUUCCAGGAAAAGCCUCUAAGCAUCAGGUAACAUCAAAUCGUACCCCAAACCGACACAGGUGGUCAGGUAGAGAAUACCAAGGCGCUUGAGAGAACUCGGGUGAAGGAACUAGGCAAAAUGGUGCCGUAACUUCGGGAGAAGGCACGC